rnacentral:sRNA from 1 species
GUUGGAAUAUCAAGACGAUCAAGAAUAUACAGUUGUUUAUUUAAUUUAGAUUGUAAACUGCAAGUCUAGUGUAUGUUUGUUGAAAAGAGUUAAUAAUUACUGUUGAUUCUAAAUGGCAAGUCUAGUCUAUGCAAUCGGUUGAGCCUCGAUAUUUCGUCUGAUUCAUCUAGCAAUGAAAUUGCUAACGGGUUGAUGUGGUUGCUUAGCCUCUCAAAAGAGUCUGUUGUACGGCUGCGAAUUUCAUCUAUUACUAUUAAUAUACUCAAGUCUUUGUUGAUAUUUUUGUUGCUAACGUA